GGAGAGUCAUCGCAUUAUCUCUGACUACUACUGUGUAAGUAAUAUGUUGCAAACAAUUCUGAGGAGAAAAAGAAAAAAUGUGGAAAAAGAAAGAAAUAAAAAGGAAACAGAAAGAAAGAAAUGAGAAAAAGAAAAAGAGAAAUAAAGUACUUCUCGGUUCUUUGAGAUUCAUAAAGAUCCCAAGUGCUUUCAAGAUUUAGGAUUAUUCCAUACGUAUUUGUGUCUCACGAUCACUCUUUGCCCUUGCACAUGUCCACUAUAUAAAUGUGUGUGUUCAUUCUCU
rnacentral:lncRNA from 1 species